ACACAUUAUAAUAAUAUAAUAAAUCUAUGGGAAAUUGAAGAGUACAAUGUUGAGGCAACCUCAUUAUUAUAUCUUGACGGUCUCUGUGUUACUGUGUGAAAAUAAAUUCCCCAUGGUAGUCUUCCAAUAACUUUCAUAUAAGACAAGUCAUUUCCAGUGAAUUGCUUUAUGUAGUGAGUGUUCAUAUGAAGAUAAGAUAUUGCAGAGUUGUUACAUUUUCCUUUACAUUUUUCUGAUUGGUAAAUGGUCGUUAUUAUUGAAUCCUCAGUUAUUGUAUAUUAAAACAAGAAAUAUGCCAUGCACAGGUCCCUGUAAGUUUACUGGUCUACAGUUCAAGUGGAAGGCUUAGUGGCCUUUCCAAAAGCCUAAAAGCUUCGAAAAGUCAUCUAUCAGUUUUUAUUUCAACAAUAACUUGUGAGAUUUAGGGUCAAAAAUUAUGUCUGUGGAAACAUUUACCCCUGAAGCAACUUAUUACUUACAAGUUCAUGUCUAGAUGUUUGGCCACAGGAAAGCAUCAAGCACGACAGAAGUUUCCUAUAUUUUUUUCCCAUUUUAGCCUUUAGAUUCAUUAGCCUAUAAGAAAAUAUAUCAGAUAAAUUUUGAUACC
rnacentral:lncRNA from 1 species